rnacentral:misc_RNA from 1 species
AACCUAGCACACCUGCGGUGUGUACCUGCGGAAGGAUCAUUACAGGGUCUAACGACUCUCAACCACUGUGAAACCUACCUAGUCGUGCUUCGGCGGUGCUGCCUGACCCUAGGCACCUGGCCCUUCGGGGCGGCCGCCGGAGUGCCCAACUAUACUAUUAUUUACUGAGACUAUCAGAACAUUUACAAACAAAUACAACUUUCAACAACGGAUCU